rnacentral:tRNA from 1 species
UACUUUAAUAGCUUAUAUUAGAGCAUGAUAUUGAAGAUAUCAAGGAAAAUUUUUAUUUUUAAAGUAU